GCUUUCCUGUGGCUCAGUCAGUUGAGCAUUACGCUAGCAGUGCAAAGGUGUUUGGGUUCAAACCCCAGGAAAAGCG